UACGGAGGGAGCUAGCGUUGUUCGGAAUUACUGGGCGUAAAGCGCACGUAGGCGGCUCAGCAAGUCAGGGGUGAAAUCCCGGGGCUCAACCCCGGAACUGCCCUUGAAACUGCUAAGCUAGAAUCUUGGAGAGGCGAGUGGAAUUCCGAGUGUAGAGGUGAAAUUCGUAGAUAUUCGGAAGAACACCAGUGGCGAAGGCGACUCACUGGACACGUAUUGACGCUGAGGUGCGAAAGCGUGGGGAGCAAACAGG
rnacentral:rRNA from 1 species